AUACGGAGGGUGCAAGCGUUAAUCGGAAUUACUGGGCGUAAAGCGUACGUAGGCGGUUCGUUAAGUUAGAUGUGAAAGCCCCGGGCUGAACCUGGGAACUGCAUUUAAAACUGGCGGACUAGAGUUGAGUAGAGGGGAGUGGAAUUUCAGGUGUAGCGGUGAAAUGCGUAGAGAUCUGAAGGAACACCAGUGGCGAAGGCGACUCCCUGGACUCGAACUGACGCUGAGGUACGAAAGCGUGGGUAGCAAACGGGAUUAGAUACCCUAGUAGUCC
rnacentral:rRNA from 1 species